GGUUCGAUCCUGGCUCAGAUUGAACGCUGGCGGGAUGCUUUACUACGCAAGUCGAACGGCAGCACGGACUUCGGUCUGGUGGCGAGUGGCGAACGGGUGAGUAAAAUGUAUCGGAACGUGCCUAGUAGCGGGGGAUAACUACGCGAAAGCGCAGCUAAUACCGGGCAUACGCCCUUCGGGGAAAGCGGGGGACCUUCGGGCCUCGCACUAUUAGAGCGGCCGAUAUCGGAUUAGCUAGUUGGCAGGUAACGGCUCACCAAGGCGACGAUCCGUAGCUGGUUUGAGAGGACGACCAGCCACACUGGGACUGAGACACGGCCCAGACUCCUACAGGAGGCAGCAGUGGGGAAUUUUGGACAAUGGGGAAACCCUGAUCCAGCCAUCCCGCGUGUGCGAUGAAGGCCUUCGGGUUGUAAAAGCACUUUUGGCAGGAAAGAAACGGCACGGGAUAAUACCCCAGGCAACUGACGGUACCUGCAGAAUAAGCACCGGCUAACUACGUGCCAGCAGCCGCGGUAAUACGUAGGUGCAAGCGGCAUCGGAAUUACUGGGCGUAGCGUGCGCAGGCGGUUCGGAAAGAAAGAUGUGAAAUCCCAGAGCUUAACUUUGGAACUGCAUUUUUAACUACCGAGCCAGGAGUGUGUCAGAGGGAGGUGGAAUUCCGCGUGUAGCAGUGAAAUGCGUAGAUAUGCGGAGGAACACCGAUGGCGAAGGCAGCCUCCCCUGAUAACACUGACGCUCAUGCACGAAAGCGUGGGGAGCAAACAGGAUUAGAUACCUGGUGGUCCACGCCCUAAACGAUGUCAACUAGCUGUUGGGGCCUUCUUCGGGCCUUGGUAGCGCAGCUAACGCGUGAAGUUGACCGCCUGGGGAGUACGGUCGAAAGAUUAAACUCAAAGGAAUUGGACGGGGACCCGCACAAGCGGUGGAUGAUGUGGAUUAAUUCGAUGCAACGCGAAAACCUUACCUACCCGACAU
rnacentral:misc_RNA from 1 species